rnacentral:rRNA from 1 species
CCUACGGGUGGCUGCAGUGAGGAAUAUUGGUCAAUGGGCGCGAGCCUGAACCAGCCAAGUCGCGUGAGGGAUGAAGGUUCUAUGGAUCGUAAACCUCUUUUAUAAGGGAAUAAAGUGUGGGACGUGUCUCAUUUUGUAUGUACCUUAUGAAUAAGGAUCGGCUAACUCCGUGCCAGCAGCCGCGGUAAUACGGAGGAUCCGAGCGUUAUCCGGAUUUAUUGGGUUUAAAGGGUGCGUAGGCGGCCUUAUAAGUCAGCGGUGAAAGUCUGUGGCUCAACCAUAGAAUUGCCGUUGAAACUGGGGGGCUUGAGUAUGUUUGCGGCAGGCGGAAUGCAUGGUGUAGCGGUGAAAUGCUUAGAGAUCACGCAGAACCCCGAUUGCGAAGGCAGCCUGCCAAGCCAUGACUGACGCUGAUGCACGAAAGCGUGGGGAUCAAACAGGAUUAGAUACCCUUGUAGUC